rnacentral:rRNA from 1 species
GAUGAACGCUAGCGGCAGGCUUAAUACAUGCAAGUCGAGGGACAGCACAGGUAGCAAUACUGGGUGGUAACCGGCAAACGGGUGCGGAACACGUACACAACCUUCCUUUAAGUGGGGGAUAGCCCAGAGAAAUUUGGAUUAAUACCCCGUAAUAUAGUUGAAUGGCAUCAUUUGAUUAUUAUAGCUACGGCGCUUAUUGAUGGGUGUGCGGCUGAUUAGAUAGUUGGCGGGGUAACGGCCCACCAAGUCUACGAUCAGUAGCUGAUGUGAGAGCAUGAUCAGCCACACGUGAAAUGUGACACGGGACCGCCUCAUACGGGAGGCAGCAGUAAGGAAUAUUGGUCAAUGGACGCAAGUCUGAACCAGCCAUGCCGCGUGAAGGAUUAAGGUCCUCUGGAUUGUAAACUUCUUUUAUCUGGGACGAAAAAAGGCGAUUCUUCGUCACUUGACGGUACCAGAUGAAUAAGCACCGGCUAACUCCGUGCCAGCAGCCGCCGCAGUAA